rnacentral:rRNA from 1 species
CUCGCAAGAGCAAAGCAGGGGACCUUCGGGCCUUGCGCUACCGGAUAUGCCCAGGUGGGAUUAGCUAGUUGGUGAGGUAAGGGCUCACCAAGGCGACGAUCCCUAGCUGGUCUGAGAGGAUGAUCAGCCACACUGGAACUGAGACACGGUCCAGGCUCCUACGGGAGGCAGCAGUGGGGAAUAUUGCACAGUGGGCGCAAGCCUGAUGCAGCCAUGCCGCGUGUAUGAAGAAGGCCUUCGG